CGAGCGACACUGCUGCCCCACCCCGCCAUCCACGCGUGUCGCCGCCGCCCCACCCCGGCAUCCCCGAGCGACGCCGCCGCCCCACCCCGCCAUCCCCUAGCGACGCCGCCGCCCCACCCCGCGACUCUGGUGGAUCUCCGGGGAGGUGACCUUCUCGCUACAGCUGACUUGACCUCCGGAAAAAAAAGUUUCUCCCUCAAGCGGCGUUCUUGUCGCGUCCAUAGGAGUUGAGCUGGAGCAUCUUGGUGGACGAGGAGCAUGACGAUGCAGCCAUCGGCCUCCUACCACAACAAGCGACCACCGUGGCCAUCCUCCACCUGCCGCUGUAGCCUUCCUCCCCGACCGCCUCCACGACACUCUGGCCUUCGUCUACCUCUGGCUCCGCUGCUGCCCAAGGUUGUGUGCGCGAUGGCGACCCAUGUCGUUUAUCGUCCUGGUUGCGUACGCACUGACGAGUGAUGCCCCGAUCCAGCUCCUCCAUCCUCCAGCCACGGCAAGUCCAAGAGAAAGACAUUCAGUCUAGCAAGCCAAAUGGUUGACCACCAGCCCACGCGUGGAUUGGCCCCGACCUGCAGCUGGAGGAGGCCGCGACCUUCAGCUAUAGGAGACAUCAACCUACGACUGGAGGAGGCCCCGACCUUCAGCUGUCAAUUUUGAGGAACUAGCUACUCUGAUAAUCUAACUUGACACCGUAUUUGUUUUUGUUCUUUAUAAGUUCAGGCAACUAGGUUGUUCACUAGGAAAACCUUCUCUGUUUGUGCUAACUAGUAGUACGUACUACUAAACUAUAAUAAUCUUGUGAAGUGGAUAAUGCUCGUGCCCCUGGACGCUGGCCAUGUGAGAUUUUGAUGGCUUCGUACUUUUGUUAUUUGAUUUUUGAAUAACAGAAGUUCUCUUCUUUGUCUGUAGAAAACCCCAGUAUAUCACAUUUGUUUGUCGUUAUCCUCUGAAAAAUGGCAUUGUUGUAGGUUAGCUUCGCCUGAUGUGUUAGUUCAGUUUCGUAGUGCACGAUGGGCAUGAUCUAGUAACCCGCAGCCCGCCGCUGGCCGUCAACCCAACCGCCGUUGUCCCCGGCCACCACACAAGCAUUGCCGCUCCUGCAUCUCCGACCACAUUGACCUUCUCGCGAGGGCCACCUUGACCUUCCCAAUGAAGGUUCAUCCAUGGAGCGGACGCUCUCGCCACUCCACCGUCGCGUCAUGCCUGGCUCGUUGCACGUCUCCGCCCUCUGUCACAAGUGCGCUGCCACCGCAGAGAGCUUCCAGCACACUGCCUUGGCCUGCCCUUCCAGCGCCAAGCUUCCCUUGUGCGGCGUCGGCUACCACUCGUGGCAGAGCGGCUACUUCCCUCCCCGUUGUGCCAGCAGAAAAUUAUUGUGGAUUUGUACUACCGAUUACUAAAAAGUUCAGAAACAAUUCUCCCACAAACAUAAGUUCAGGUCGCUGUUUGUUGUUAGUUCAGAAUGUCCGGCGGUUGCGGAUCCGGUGGUGCUUGACUGCAGUGAGCCGUCGACGCGGGCACAGCAUCCGAUGGAAGCCGAGUCAAUUGUAGCCAACGCGAGGAGGGAUUAGUAUAGCUGUCUGUGGAGUUCAUAUCCAUACAUGGCGUGUUCUUGGUGGAAACGGCCGACAUAAAUUUGCUACAUGUUAAUACAACAAGCACUUCACUAUACUAGUCCUUUAACUUGUAGUUGUUGUAACUCUAGUCACUCGCUUCUGCAAAAAGUGAUGAUCUUUUUCCUAUUGUAUGAGUAGCUCAGUGGUGGUGGCUUUGGAGAUGGAUGAGAACAAAGGUGUGUGUGUGUGGUAGAAAAAAGGGUCCACGAAACUUGUAUUUUCUUCAUAUAUACUCUGAUUAUUUUGGUCGUUGGACUAUGGGUGUUUA